AUUGAACGCUGGCGGCAGGCUUAACACAUGCAAGUCGAGCGGAGAUGAGGUGCUUGCACCUUAUCUUAGCGGCGGACGGGUGAGUAAUGCUUAGGAAUCUGCCUAUUAGUGGGGGACAACAUUCCGAAAGGAAUGCUAAUACCGCAUACGUCCUACGGGAGAAAGCAGGGGAUCUUCGGACCUUGCGCUAAUAGAUGAGCCUAAGUCGGAUUAGCUAGUUGGUGGGGUAAAGGCCUACCAAGGCGACGAUCUGUAGCGGGUCUGAGAGGAUGAUCCGCCCCAAUGGGACUGAGACACGGGACAGACUCCUGCGGGGGGCAGCAGUGGGGAAUAUUGGCAAAUGGGGGGAACCCUGAUCCAGCCAUGCCACGUGUGUGAAGAAGGCCUUAUGGUUGUAAAGCACUUUAAGCGAGGAGGAGGCUACUGAGACUAAUACUCUUGGAUAGUGGACGUUACUCGCAGAAUAAGCACCGGCUAACUCUGUGCCAGCCGCCGCCGUAAUAC
rnacentral:rRNA from 1 species